GGGCGGACGCGGGGCCGGGCCAGGGCGGUGCAAGAGCUGGACAAAAGCGGCUACCGUCCGUGGCGCAGCCGGGCCUCCGUCCUGGUGGCAUACUUCGGGCACUAUAGGCCGUCUCCGCACACGUGAUGCGGGGCUCGGUCACGUCGCCCCCUGGAGGCUUGAGGGUGCGCCAGGUUUGACUCUGCUGGGCAUGCGCGCUUUGGGGGUGGAAGGAAGAGGAACGCAGCGGGAAGCAGAGCCCCAACCGGGAGAGUCGUCCCGGCGCGCACGCUGAGGCGGCUUCGUACAGCGGCCAUAGGCGCUGCACGGAUCCGGGCACACCUUCCUGCGCACCCACUCGUGGUCAACUCCCUACAGGAGCGGAGUGACUCCUGAACUCCCACCCCUCUUUUAGUGUGAGCGUCUGGAGUCCUGACCGCCGCAGCCAGCCCAGCCAUGAUGAGCUAAGAGGAUGUGGCAGCCCAGCCACGACAAACUAAGAGGAAGUGUGGGUGACCUUAUGUCAGAGGAAGUGGCUUUCUUAUUGGAGCAAAAAUUCCCUUACCAAUGUCAGUGCUAGGGUCAGAAGAUCUAGCAACACAGCAACACCAGGCCCGUGUUCCACUUGACAAAUAGUGGCUGCUGGGUAGCCUUCUUAGAGGAUUGAAGGAAAAGAUGAACAGAUUGGCAACGGCGAUUUGGAAAAACAGCGGUGCACUAUGAUGCCUGUCUCUCUCACUAGAUUGUGAACUCCUAAAGACACUGGACUCAUGGCAGUAGUGAUCACUGCAAGGACUGUGGCGCAGGAUGGAUAUUUCUGAGUGUCGUGGAUGCUUACAGACAGAAGGUGAAAAGCUCAGGUUCUGAAGCUCUUGGUUCAGUUCUUGGUCUGAGAACUAGAGAAUUUCCAUGGCAGCCCUAAAAUAACCUUUUAUUUCUUGUAGCCACAGGGUUGAGAUUGUUAAAAAUUAAACACAAAAUUUAAUUUUACAGGUUGCAGAACUACGACAUCAGUAAUUUUGUUGGGAAGUGAAUGCCGGGUUUCUCAUGUGAAAGUUAGGUCCUUGAUUGGGAAGGAAGGAGACCCCAAAACUUGGAAGGGGACAUCUGGUUGGUCUCAAAUGAGAGUGAGAAUCUUGAACCCCUGAGUUGCUCUGAGUCUCCCUUGCCAGCGUGAGUAGCUUGCCCUUGUAUAUCUGCAGGGUUUUUCCCCCUCAAAAGCCCUGGUUCAUCUGGAGCAAAUACUUCACAAACGAGGAUGCCCACUCUCCUUGGAACCUACCUCAAACACCCUUUAUUGCCACUAGACCCAUCACCAGGGUCAGUUGUCAUCAUAUUCCAGUGGCUGGGAAGUGGCAGCAGGUCUCUGUCUAUAACUCUGGCACUGAGCCCAGAUUCCCAAGUCUGCCCCUUAUUCCAGAGGGUCCCUGAUUGCUAUACAGAGGAAGUAUGGGCCAAGAUAACCUAACCAAACACCAGGCUCCAGAUUCUCAAGCAGUCUCUUUCAACACCAUGGUUUUGAAAAGUAAAUUUGAGAGGUAAUUUUAAGGCUCUUACAUAGAAGAAUUCUCCCCAAAGAAACAUAUCUAUGGUGAUUAUUGUUCAAUUCUGGACCUCUCAGCAUUGUUUUCUUGCUCUGUCAGUUACAAAAUAAAUAAUUCUAGCUUUCUGAAGCUUGAGUAGGAUGUGUGACUAAUUUACAGAGAAGCAUCUCUAGUGGAGGAUAAACAACACGAAGUAUGUAAUUCUGGCUGGGUGAGGUGGCUCAUGCCUGUAAUCCCAGCUUUGGGAGGCCGAGGUGGGUGG